UACAGAGGGGGCAAGCGUUAUUCGGAAUUAUUGGGCAUAAAGGGCGGGUAGGCGGCCUGGCAAGUGGAAGGUGAAAUCCCUCGGCUUAACCGAGGAACUGCCUCCCAAACUGCUUGGCUUGAGACCAGGAGAGGUGAGUGGAAUUCCCAGUGUAGCGGUGAAAUGCGUAGAUAUUGGGAGGAACACCAGUGGCGAAGGCGGCUCACUGGACUGGUACUGACGCUGAGGCGCGAAAGCGUGGGGAGCAAACGGG
rnacentral:rRNA from 1 species